GGACAAUGAGCAGCUUCUUCUCUCCCAGUGUUUCCUCGACAAAUGAAGAAGGAAAGUGUCUGUAAAGUGACCUGAAGAGACUUCAGCAGGAUGCAACAGCAGAGACCUGGACCUGAACCCAGCAGUGUGUCCAUGAGAAGUGACCGGUCUAUGGCUCAACCUAUUUACUUUAAAUGUGGACAAGCUGCAGAUGGGGGAUUUCAGCAGGAGAGCUCAGAGGGCCUCAUUGGUCGGUCUGCCCAGCAGCAGCAAACAGACUUGGACUCCAUAUUUCAUGUGUGUACAUGUACAAACACAACUUUUGCUAUUAACUACAGAUUAAAUGCUGAACAUUCUUAAACGUGCUACUCUGUUCAAAACAGCAGGCCUUCAGACUGAUAAAUAAGAUUUUGUAUUCUUAAAAUUACACGUUCAGUUCAUCAUUCUGUUCCAGCUGCUGGGGGAGAAAAUUGCUACUUUUGGAAAGAACGAGCUGAAGAAGACCAAAAAGGUUCUGAGUCCAGAUUACCUACAAUGCUUACAGAGUGAGAGGGAGGAUGAGAUGUUGGAUCAUGAGGAUGAAGAGCAGAGGAGGACCAUUAUAGAGGCAUUUCUGAAGAUCACACUGUACUUUCUUAGGAGAAUGAAGCAGGAGGAGCUGGUUGAUCGUCUACAGAGCAGAAGUCGUUCUGUAGUUUGUAAGCGUAAACUCAAGUCCAAGCUGGAGAAAAAGUUCCAGUGUGUGUUUGAGGGGAUUGCUAAAGCAUGCAAUCCAACCUGUCUGAAUCAGAUGUUCACAGAGAUCUACAUCAUGGAGGGAGGGACUGCAGAGGUCAAUAAAGAACAUGAGGUCAUACAGAUUGAAACAGCAUCCAGAAAACCAGAC